rnacentral:tRNA from 1 species
AAUUUGGUGGCCCCUCCCAGACUUGAACUGGGGACCAAUCGAUUAUGAGUCGACUGCUCUAACCACUGAGCUAAGG